AUACCGGCCAGAGACCGAUAGCGCACAAGUAGAGUGAUCGAAAGAUGAAAAGCACUUUGAAAAGAGGGUUAAAUAGUACGUGAAAUUGUUGAAAGGGAAGGAUUUAUGACCAGACCUUUGCCUUGCGGAUCAUCCGGUGUUCUCACCGGUGCACUUCGCUUGGUUGAGGCCAGCAUCAGUUUUGGCGGCGGGAUAAAGACUUCAGGAACGUGACUCCCCCGGGAGUGUUAUAGCCUGCUGUGUAAUACCGCCGCUGGGACUGAGGACCGCGCUUCGGCUAGGAUGCUGGCGUAAUGGUCGUAAUCCGCCCGUCUUGAAACACGGACC
rnacentral:rRNA from 1 species